rnacentral:rRNA from 1 species
UACGUAGGUGGCAAGCGUUGUCCGGAUUUAUUGGGCGUAAAGCGAGCGCAGGCGGAAAGAUAAGUCUGAUGUGAAAGCCCCCGGCUUAACCGAGGAAUUGCAUCGGAAACUGUGUUUCUUGAGUGCAGAAGAGGAGAGUGGAACUCCAUGUGUAGCGGUGGAAUGCGUAGAUAUAUGGAAGAACACCAGUGGCGAAGGCGAGAACUUAGGCUAUCACUGACGCUUAGGCUCGAAAGUGUGGGGAGCAAAUAGG